GAUACGGGACUCAUCCGAGGCCCCGUAAUCGGAAUGAGAACACUUUAAAUCCUUUAACGAGGAACAAUUGGAGGGCAAGUCUAGUGCCAGCAGCCGCGGUAAUUCUAGCUCCAAUAGCGUAUAUUAAAGUUGUUGCGGUUAAAAAGCUCGUAGUUGAAUCUGUGUGUCACGCUGUCGGUUCAUCGUUUGCGGUGUUUAACUGGCAUGAUUGUGAGACGUCCUACCGGUGGGCUUAGCUUUAUGUUACAGUAAAGCGGUCCAACUAAUAUCCCAUCGCGGUGCUCUUCAUCGAGUGUCGAGGUGGGCCGGUACGUUUACUUUGAACAAAUUAGAGUGCUUAAAGCAGGCUAUUUUUGCCUGAAUAUUGUGUGCAUGGAAUAAUGGAAUAGGACCUCGGUUCUAUUUUGUUGGUUUUCGGAACUCCGAGGUAAUGAUUAAUAGGGACAGAUGGGGGCAUUCGUAUUGCGACGUUAGAGGUGAAAUUCUUGGAUCGUCGCAAGACGAACAUAAGCGAAAGCAUUUGCCAAAAAUGUUUUCAUUAAUCAAGAACGAAAGUUAGAGGUUCGAAGGCGAUCAGAUACCGCCCUAGUUCUAACCAUAAACGAUGCCAGCUAGCGAUCCGCCGAAGUUCCUCCGAUGACUCGGCGGGCAGCUUCCGGGAAACCAAAGCUUUUGGGUUCCGGGGGAAGUAUGGUUGCAAAGCUGAAACUUAAAGGAAU
rnacentral:rRNA from 1 species